rnacentral:tmRNA from 1 species
GGGGGCGAAAAGGGUUCGACGGGAGUGGUUGAGGCUCCGGAGGCAUGCCGGGUUUCCUGACCCGUAAAAAUCGGGAAGCUAACAAUAGCUGCUGAAGCUAACUACGCACUGGCUGCUUAACUAGCAGCCCGGUACCGGUCGCUCCCGCCUGUGGGCGGCCGGCUGCCGUCACACAGCAGGCUGGAUCCGCCGUGCGACUCCGAGCGGCGGAUCGAGAAACAGGGGUUGGCCGACGGCGAGUUUUUCUGUUUGGAUCGCCUGAAGCGAGACACGAAAACAGAAUAAGCAUGUAGUCUCCGGCUGCUGAAAACUCUCGGACGGGGGUUCAAUUCCCCCCGCCUCCACCA